rnacentral:rRNA from 1 species
AGUGAACGGGGAACAGCCCAACGCUGAAUCCUAUGGCCACUGGUCAUUGGGAAAUGUAGCGUAUAGGUGUGACUGUUCGGUGAUUUUUUUCACUUACCCCAAGUUCCCUUGAGCGGGGCAAAUGUCCAUAGAGGGUGCUAGGCCUGUACGGGUAGUGAAGUCAUUGAUCUUGGUUACUCCUUAGAGUCGAGUUGCCUGGGAACGCAGCUCAAAGUAGGUGGUAAACCUCAACUUUGCUAAAUAUGACUACGAGACCGAUAGCGAACAAGUACCGUGAGGGAAAGUUGCAAAGAACUUUGAAGAGAGAGUUCAAGAGGGCGUGAAACCGCUGAGAAGGAAGCGGAUAGAGUUGACGAAACACAGUGGCAUUCAUCUGAUCAGGUGCUAUUGAGUUUAACAAUACAAGUUUGUGGUAUUAUUUUACGAUAAUGGCCACAACUGGUAUUGUUGUAGCUGAAUAGGUUGAUUGGUGCUUUUGCCAUUGGUAUGCGCUGAGAGAUUCGCUAAUGAUGCGUUAAUAUCGAUUUAAAGAGGACUAUGCUUAACUAAGUGUAGAAACCAUUUAACGGUUGAGGGCGUAUUCAUGGUGAAUUGCUGUUUCGCAGUUAUAUCACUUGCUUUUAGCGCAACUGGUUAUUAUGUGAUUAUGGACAGCUGUUGAGCGGUCGCAUGCGACUUGCUUAUAGUUGCACUAUAGUCCAUUGAUAGCUUUUCUUAUGGUUGCGUUGGUGUAUAUAUCUUGGUGUAAAAGUUGACCACCUAUCCGACCCGUCUUGAAACACGGACCAAGGAGUUUAGCAUAUACGCAAGUCAUUGGGUGGCAAACCUAAAGGCGUAAUGAAAGUAAAGAUUGCAUUUAAUGCAUGUUAAUAUGGGAUCUAUAAUUUUUGCGUAAGUUAAAAUUGUGGCGCACCAUAGUCCCGUCCCCGUUGCUUGCAAUAGGGCGGAGAUAGAGCGUAUACGCUGAGACCCGAAAGAUGGUGAACUAUGCCUGAGCAGGAUGAAGCCAGAGGAAACUCUGGUGGAAGUCCGAAGCGAUUCUGACGUGCAAAUCGAUCGUCUGACUUGGGUAUAG